AUAUAUUUCAGCUGCCUGAAAUAAUCUGUUCCCCUCCAUAACAUGGGAAAAAAUAAGCAAACCCUGUGAAUUUUGAAACUGUUGGUCAUUAUUUGUCUAUAUAUCGUUUGAAGCAAUUAAUUAUUUGAUAUUUUGAAAUCUAAGAUGGUUAUAAUAAAUAUUACUGUUGAUUUGAUUAUCUUUAUGUAAUGUAUGCUCUGUUUAAAUGUGUAUCUUCCAAGUUACAAAUAUGUUGCAGAUUUUACAUCUAACAAUGCACCUUACAAUAUAAACACAUACGGUGUUUUCUAGAAAGUCAAAAAUCACGUGGUGCUGUUGCUCCAAUCAAUUAUGCAAAUGUGCAGGUGUUGGGCAGAUUGUUCGUCACGUUUUGCUUUAAGUUAAGCCAACUAUUUGAUUAAGUCGACACUUUUCUUAAAUAUGGACAGUGUUGAAUAUGAAACGCUCUUUAACUAUAAAGUUAAAGGCGAAUAUCCACCGCAGUCAACGAAGGAAAGAAAAUAUGUCAUUCGAAGGAAAGCCUCGUCGUACAAGAUUGAAGGUAAUUAUCUUUAUCUUCCAGAUUGAUGCAUUGACGGUAACCUCUACUUUAAUAUGUAGCAAAUAGUGGAAUGCAUAAGUUAUCUAAAAACAGUUAGAUAACAUUCAAUGUUUUUUUGUUAUUGAUUUACUGCUGCAUUUAAUUUCGAUUAAUAUGUGUGCACACACGAACGUUACUCCACGUUAUAAUGCAGGAAUAACGCACAAUGUUCCUGACUGCAGAUGUUAUUCAUGUGAAUUACACUUGUACUCCAGUUCUAUUUCUAAGUUGUGUUGUAAAAAGAUUCCCGUAUUUCUACAUUCAUCAAUAAAAGAAACAAAAUCUAGCAAAGUGGACAAUUGUGAAUAAAAACCAUUACGUCAACAAAUUCACAGACAUUACUCCUUCAAAUGAGCACUGUUUAUUUUUUUCUCCAAAAGUAAAAUUUUAAAAUAAAUAUGCAUUUGAUAAUGUCUUUCUUCCUGUUCUGUUUAUUGCAUGCUUCUUGUUUCAGCCUCUAUGUAUAACUCAGUAGUAGUAUACAUUUGCAUAUUUGUAGAAUUAUAAAUGUAUUUUAAUAAUAGAAUUUCAUGCUUCGGUCAUAUUUUUAUUGGUGUCCUUUAUCUUUUCCAAGGAAAUGACCUGUUCUAUGUUAAACACAAAGGCAGUUUGUGCUCAACAAAGGUCAAAGUUGUUAAAGGUGCUGAGGAAGCCGAAAGAAUAUUUGUUGACUUCCAUGCCAGCCCUACAGGUGCACAUUGUGGACAAACAAAAACAACAGAUGCCAUCUCAAGGAGAUUUUAUUGGCCAGGAAUGUCUGUGGACAUCAAGAAAUGGGUCUCUGAGUGCUCAUCCUGUCAGGCCAGUGCCCCAGCACUGAAACAGCCAUCAGUGUAUACUCCCAUAAAGGUUACCCAUCCCUUUGAAUUAAUUGGGAUGGACCUCAUUGGAAAACUGGCCGAAACAAAAUCUGGACACAAGUAUAUUUGUGUCAUGAUUGACUAUUUUACGAAGUGGCCACAGGCAUAUCCACUAAAGAGUAAAUCAGCACCUGAAGUUACGGAAUGCAUAAUUAAGUUUGUGCAUCAGUUUGAAGCCCCCAAAAGGAUUUUGACAGACCAAGGACGAGAAUUUGUAAAUUCUAUAAACCAAGAAGUGUGCAAAAUUCUCAAUAUCAAACGAAGUCUGUGUUCCCCAUACCAUCCCCAAACAAAUGGGUUGGUUGAAAAAAUGAAUGGGACCAUUCAAAGAGCUCUGAGUAAGGUUGUGGAUGGCCAUCCACACACCUGGGAUGAGUAUUUGGAUGCUGUGAUGUUUGGGAUACGCACCAAAAAA